rnacentral:rRNA from 1 species
UAACGAAUAUUCCGCAAUGCGCGAAAGCGUGACGGAGCGACGCCGCGUGUAGGAUGAAGCGGCUUUGCCGUGUAAACUACUGUCAGGGGCUACUAAUACUGAAGAGCCCCAAAGGAAGGGCCGGCUAAUCCUGUGCCAGCAGCCGCGGUAAUACAGGAGGCCCGAGCGUUAGUCGGAAUCACUGGGCUUAAAGGGUGCGCAGGCGGACCCGUAUGUGUAUUGUGAAAUCCCUCGGCUCAACCGGGGAACUGCAACGCAAACGGCGGGUCUUGAGGAAGGUAGGGGUCGUUGGAACGAUCGGUGGAGCGGUGAAAUGCGUUGAUAUCGAUCGGAACGCCGAAGGUGAAGACAAGCGACUGGGCCUUUUCUGACGCUCAUGCACGAAAGCGUGGGGAUCAAA